AGGCGGUUUGUUAAGCUAGAUGUGAAAGCCCCGGGCUCAACCUGGGAUGGUCAUUUAGAACUGGCAGACUAGAGUCUUGGAGAGGGGAGUGGAAUUCCAGGUGUAGCGGUGAAAUGCGUAGAUGUCUGGAGGAACAUCAGUGGCGAAGGCGACUCCCUGGCCAAAGACUGACGCUCAUGUGCGAAAGUGUGGGUAGCGAACAGGAUUAGAUACCCUGGUAGUCCACACCGUAAACGCUGUCUACUAGCUGUGUGUGCCUUUAAGGCGUGCGUAGCGAAGCUAACGCGCUAAGUAGACCGCCUGGGGAGUACGGUCGCAAGAUUAAAACUCAAAUGAAUUGACGGGGGCCCGCACAAGCGGUGGAGCAUGUGGUUUAAUUCGAAGCAACGCGCAGAACCUUACCAACCCUUGACAUCCUCGGACCGCCAGAGAUGGAUGGUUCCCUUCGGGGACGCAGUGACAGGUGCUGCAUGGCU
rnacentral:rRNA from 1 species